rnacentral:rRNA from 1 species
CGUGUAGGCGGGAAUGUAAGUCAGAUGUGAAAUUCCACGGCUCAACUGUGGGGCUGCAUCUGAAACUACAUUUCUUGAGUGCUGGAGAGGAAAGCGGAAUUCCUAGUGUAGCGGUGAAAUGCGUAGAUAUUAGGAGGAACACCAGUGGCGAAGGCGGCUUUCUGGACAGUAACUGACGCUGAGGCGCGAAAGCGUGGGGAGCAAACAGGAUUAGAUACCCUGGUAGUCCACGCUGUAAACGAUGGAUACUAGGUGUAGGAGGUAUCGACCCCUUCUGUGCCGGAGUUAACACAAUAAGUAUCCCACCUGGGGAGUACGGCCGCAAGGUUGAA